UUAGAGUUUGAUCCUGGCUCAGGGUGAACGCUGGCGGUAUGGAUAAGGCAUGCAAGUCGAAUGGGUUUAGACCCAUGGCAGACGAGGUAGUAACACGUAGGAACGUACCCUGAAGUCGGGCAUAACCAGCCGAAAGGUUGGAUAAUUCCCGAUGGUCUCGCAAGAGUAAAGAUUUAUCGCUUCAGGAACGGCCUGCGUAAUAUCAGCUAGUUGGUGAGGUAAUGGCUCACCAAGGCUAUGACGUUUAGGGGACCUGAGAGGGUGACCCCCACCGAUGAUACUGAGACACGGAUCAUACCCCUACGGGGGGCUGCAGCCGAGAAUAUUCGACAAUGGGCGAAAGCCUGAUCGAGCGAUACCGCGUGGUGGAUGAAGUGCUUCGGCACGUAAACACCUUUUAUGGAGGAGGAAGUUAUUGACGUUACUCCAUGAAUAAGGGGCUCCUAACUCUGUGCCAGCAGGAGCGGUAAUACAGAGGCCCCGAGCGUUACCCGGAAUUACUGGGCGUAAAGAGUGCGUAGGUGGUCGUGUUAGUCGUUUGUU
rnacentral:rRNA from 1 species